AGAAGAAGAAGAAGCGCCAUCUCUGCCAGCCUCAUGGUUUGAGGUUUUCUGGUUAUUUUGGAUUUGUUGAAAAUGAGGAACAGCUGGCGACCGAGUGGAGAAAACAGGACUGUCAGCACAUCAGAAAUAAAAUAUCCUGGAUGUUGGAAUCUUGUGUCGAGGAUCUUUUCUGGAGCCCGAGUCUGUGCAGAAGAGAUGGAGCCCCGCCACCGAGGUCCCGCCGACGCACGCGCUCGACUAACCAUGAUGCUGCUGCUUUCUGGACCGAGCAGCAUCGUGUUGAGACAGGUCACUGAGAGCCACCAAGGGAGUAUCAUCUCUCUGGAAGCAUGGCGUCCCAAUGUGUGGAUCAUUACAAAAAAAAAAACACUUAACACCGCAACAACUCAUCGGUUUUUAACUGUACCGCAGAGGCAGACUUGAAGAUGCGAGUGGGAGGCUAUAACCCGAACCAGCUGGGAGACAAAAAGCGAGAGUGUCUGCUCUCCUUGGUCAGAAGCGAGAGAAAUAUGAGACGGCUGUGAAAGUGAAAGGGGAUUAAUGGAUUUCAGACUGAAAGAGAGUUAGAGAUGCUGUCAUUCGUUGCUUCAGGUAGAAAUGUCAAGAGAAAAAUGAGGGAGAGAAGAGAAGCAACAGUGGGAGUUAGAGAUGCAGCAGAUACACAGAAAUGCACUUUUUUUUGUUUUUCUGUAAUGCAGUGAUUAAUCACAUUCUGGGUGAAUCAUGGCACC